rnacentral:misc_RNA from 1 species
GUAUUGAAUUUGUAACUCCAAAUCAAUAGCUACUUAUCAGGCAAGAACUUCUUGUCUAUUCCAAUUCCAAUCCACUUGAUAUAUUUUCCUAGUCAUGUAUGUUUGUUUGUUCAGAAAAGACCAGACAGGAGAACAGAGAGAGAGAGAGAGAGAGAUAGAGAAAAAAAGAGUCAGAAGAAGUUGCCUCCUUCAUAUUCCCCCUUCCCCCUCUCUCUUUCCCCCCCAUCCAUUCCCCUCUUCCAACCUUUUCUGUUGUUUAUAAUUCUUUGAUGAUCCCUCCGCAGGUUCACCUACGGAGA